AUUGAACGCUGGCGGCAGGCCUAACACAUGCAAGUCGAACGAGUGGCGGACGGGUGAGUAAUGUCUGGGAAACUGCCCGUUGGAGGGGGAUAACUACUGGAAACGGUAGCCAAUACCGCCUACAAUCCGAUGUGCCAAGAUGGGAUUAGCUAGUAGGUGGGGUAACGGCUCACCUCGGCGACGAUCCCUAGCUGGUCUGAGAGGUAGACCGGCCACACUGGAACUGGGACACGGGCAGGACUCCAACGGGGGGCAGCGGUGGGGAAUAUUGCACAAUGGGCGAAAGCCUGAUGCGGCCAGGCCGCGGGUAUGAAGAAGGCCUUCGGGUUGUAAAGUACUUUCAGCGGGGAGGCGUUACCCGCAGAAGAAGCACCGGCUAACUCCGUGCCAGCAGCCGCGGUAAUAC
rnacentral:rRNA from 1 species